GUGCAUGGCCGUUCUUAGUUGGUGGAGCGAUUUGUCUGCUUAAUUGCGAUAACGAACGAGACUCUAGCCUGCUAACUAGUCGUUUCCGGCUUCCUUUGUUGCAGCCGGCGAAGACAAAUCUUCUUAGAGGGACAGGCGGCUUCUUGCCGCCCGAGGAUGAGGAAAAAAAAGGCUGUGGAGCCCUUAUAUGGUCUUGGGCGCACGCGCGCUACAAA
rnacentral:ncRNA from 1 species